rnacentral:rRNA from 1 species
AAGGAGAUGUGCUUAGUGUCAAAAUCAGAUUACUCUGACUUGUAGGCUGUAGGGGCUUUGCCAACUUGGGUGCAGGUGCAAGUCUCUUGGAAAGGAGCACCAGUGAGGGUCAAGGUCCCGUCUGGCAUCUGUCAUCCCUCGUAGACGGUUUGCCCAUUGAGAGUCGUGUUCUUCUGGAGUAGAGCGCUAAUUGGGUGGUACUCUUUGCCCAAGGAGGAUUACGUGCUUGAGACCAAUAGUGAACAAGUACCAUGAGGGAAGGGUGAAAAGGACUUUGGAAAGAGGGUUAAGAGGGCAUGAAGCUGCUGGAAGGGAAGUGGAUUGGACUUUUACAUCGCAGUAAGAUUGCAGGCUGUGAUUUCCACUCGUGGGACAUCGCGUGCUGUGUCUCUUGCUGCUCGGUUGGGUUUUGCGUUGUGCCCGAAAUCUCAGCUUUGACUGGAAGAAGGUUUGCGAACUGGACCAUGUCAUUGCCAACUUUUGGCGCAGCAUGCAACCUUGACCAAAAGGUUCAAUUUUACCCGUCUUGAAAC